CUCAGGUCAGUAGUGAGUUAACGCUGUAUGUGAGCUGUACGCCACACGGACUGCUUUGUUGACCGUUGUUGAUCCGCGUUGAGGAGCAGCGCAUAGUUUAUUACUCUUGGACUACUUGGAUUGCGAGCUUGGUGGAUUAUAUUUUGGUUUUAGUUUAAACUUAAACUGUUGGAUGUUUUCAGUGAAUUUUUAGUGAAACAUAAGUGGCAAAGAAGUUCAAAAAAGUCGUGAUUUUUUUGGAUAUCCUGCAUUGGUUUAACAGUGACUGAAGUUAAGUCACUUUUGACCUAAGAAAACGAAGGAAAACUGAAACGGAAUGAAACGUGAAUAAUAAAAGCCCGCACACAGGAGUGUAGUGUUUUGUAUGUUUAUCUAGACAGAAGGGAGAGAAGCGCAAGAGAAUUAGACGAACGAACCUCAAAGGAGAAGAGAAGCAUAAUGGUCGAGUACGCCUGAACGAAGGAAAUACGCCUGAAGAAAAAAACGUGAUGAAUUGAUUCAUACGCGCGCAACUUGGGCAUAAAAAGUGAAUAAAUUUUGAAGAAAUGCGCGCGAGCACCUUCAAUUGCAAAAUGAUCGAUAAUUUAAAUUGAAUGUGAAUUCGUUACUUUUCAUCGGUUUGACAUGUGUACGGCUUUAUUGAGUUAAAAAAACGCAAUGAAUAAAUAGUCAAAGUACUCGUUCGUGCCUUAGGAAAAAAAAAGCAAAACAGCUUCAAACAAAUUCAAUGUUUGUGUACAAAACAUGUUUAUUGUGAUGAGCAAAUGCAAAGCAGUGAUUGUCUGAGCCCGGAAUUACGACACAUGCAAUUCGUAGGAAAUAAUUAUUUAUGAGCAGUGAAGUAAAAGUGAAUCCUUUCUAUUGAGCUUUGUGGCGGGUUUUAUUUUCGACUGCAAUUUGGAUAUUCAUGACUGGUGGGUAGCCUUCGUUCGCGCCGCUGAUCAAAGCAAGCGCGUGAGUUUGCACACGGAAGAAGCGCGCAAAUAAAUUCGUUGUUUUCGCAAAGCCUACUCGAGCGGCACAUUGGAAGACAUUUGGAGAGUGGCAAUUUCAAUCAACAAGAUUUCGGAUCCAGAGCACAGCGGACAGCAUCCAUUUUUCCAACACAAGUCGUGAACCAAGCGGGAAAAUGAUGCGUUCGGGCGGUGCUGAUCUACACCAAGAAGUGCACCAACAACGAGUAGCUCGACGGUAGCGAUCAGGUUACCGGCAAUUAACAGUGAUCGCGUGGAGCCUGUUAGCAAAAUGUCCAACACGUCACUCUUGGCCGUACAUCAUUAGACGCAGCGUGGUCGCCCCGAGCGAUUCCAAGAUAUUCAGAGAAAUAUAGCUAUAUUUACAAAUAGUCAAUUAAACUGCUGAAAAUGCACCAAGUGUAACGCGACGCGAGUGCAACCUGUGCUCCGAAAAAGUGCCCCCGAAAGCCAAGUAACCGAAUAGCUGAGUCGUAAAAAAUACAGGGAAGUUGAGCCACAAUGGAAUCAACCAGCAGCAGAACCUGCAGCGUCAUGCUGAGGAGGAGGAGACCCGAGGUGCACCUGAGCCGCUUCUCGAUCGUCCUGAUAGUGUUAGUUAGCUGCUGCUUAGAUAGGAUCUUCGGUUGGACGCCAGAUGUCCUGACCAAGUCAUACAUUACAUACGAUAACACGAUACCAGCCUUUUUCGGCAACAGUACUGAUUACUUUAAGUUGCUGGACCAGGACGAGGGUUCGAUCCUGAUCGGGGCCCGUAAUGCCCUGUACAACAUCAGUCUCGAUCGGUUGAUCGAGAACCCGAACCAACGGGUCAUGUGGUCGUCCUCGGACGCGCACCGGGAGCUGUGCACGCUCAAGGGUAAACUUGAUCAAGACUGCCAGAACUACAUCCGAGUGUACGCUCGGGUCGGCGCUAAUCGAGUUAUGCUCUGCGGAACCAACUCGUACAAGCCGCUUUGCCGGUACUACAACGUACUGCCGAGCGAUGGAUCGAUUGUGUACGAUAACAAUGAAAUGGAAGCUCUAGGACGGUGUCCUUACAAUCCGCUCCAUAACAGCACUUAUGUGUUUACUGACGGUCAUCUGUACUCGGCAACGGUAGCCGAUUUCUCCGGUGCGGAUCCCCUGAUCUACCGGGAACCUCAGCGAACGGAGCAGUAUGACAGCAAACAGCUGAACCAGCCGGCCUUUGUGAGUGCCGUCGAGCACAACGGAUACGUGCUGUUCUUCUUCCGGGAGAUUGCUGUCGAGUACAUGAACUGUGGCAAAGCGAUCUACUCGCGCGUGAGCCGAGUUUGCAAAAACGACAAGGGUGGACCGCACCCGCUGAACGAUCGCUGGACCUCGUUUGUGAAGGCUCGCCUUAACUGUUCGAUUCCCGGCGAAUAUCCGUUUUAUUUCGACGAAAUCCAAUCCACCACAAAAACGAUCGAGGGAUUGUACGGCGGCGUUCGGAAUCAGAUCAUUUACGCGAUCAUGACGACUCCGGACAACGCCAUCGGAGGGUCGGCAGUUUGCGCCUUUUCCAUCCAGGACAUCCUGGACACCUUCGAGGGUCCGUUUAAAUCGCAGCGUGACAUGCACUCCAACUGGAUGCAGGUGCCGCAGAGCCAGGUUCCGGAACCGCGGCCCGGUAAGUGCGUCGACGACAGUCGAACACUGCCAAAAGCAUCGGUAAACUUUGUCAAGAUGAACACCCUGAUGGACAUGUCCGUGCAGUCGCUGCACUCGCGACCUCUCUUCACCCGGGUCAGUCUGCUGUACCGUUUGUCGGCGAUCACCGUCGAUCCUCAGGUGGAAGCUCUUGACGGCACCACAUACGAUGUGGUGUUUGUCGGAACCAACGACGGAAAGGUGAUCAAGUUCGUAAACGUGUUGUCGUCGAACACGACGGAAGAAGUCAAGACGGUAAUUCUCAGUGAAACUCAAGCGUUCCCGCUGGGAACAAAGGUCAACGAAAUUACAAUUUCGAAAAAGAAUAAGAAACUGAUUGUGAUCAGCAACGGAAAGAUCAUUUCACUUCCGCUCAGCAAUUGCAACGAGCACGAGUUUAAAUCUUGCCGGAAGUGUCUGGAACUUCAAGAUCCGUACUGUGCCUGGGACGAUGUGAACCGGGAGUGCCGUACGGUGGGAGAGGUUACUGGCAGUUCGGACAAGUUGUUCCAGCGACUGGACGGAAGCAACGUGAACGAUAUCUGCAAAAAGUACGACCAGCGGGACCAGCGCCAGCACAAGGUCGAAGAUAACGACCUGUACACACGGGUUGAUGGGUCCGGAUCGGCGGAGAAGGAGAAAACCAGCAGCGAGCCCAAGAACGUGGUGAUUAUCCAAUCGACGCGGGGAACGGUUUCGUCGGUUGGCCCGAUCGACAUUGAUAACGAGAUUUCGAUGACUUCGAUCGAGGGCAACGAUCUGACGAACAAGAUCGGAUCGCACCAGUAUCACCAUAAGACAGAUCCCCUCGUCAAGGACGACAUCUCCGUGGCUUCGCUUGGUUGGAAGCUCUACAUCAUUAUUAUGGUGUCUUCGAUAAUAGUUGGCAUGAUCCUGGGCUACUUUAUCACGCAACACGUAAUGAAAAAGCAGUCAUUUCAUGGCAAAGAGCACCGAAAUCAGCUGAACUGGCAUCACGCGAAAAACUUGAGCAUGCUUUCACAGAACAGAACCAGCGGAAAGGACGUAAAUCUGCUGAUGAACACCACGAAUCAGUACGCUACGCAGCAGCAAGCGAUCGUGCAGCAACUGCAACAGCACCAUCAGAACAACAUGAAGGACAACAUCGACUUCGACUUUAAGGAUCGAAGCGUCGAGUGUAAAAACUCAACGGAGAACCUCGAGAAGGACAUCAGCAAAGGCAUGGGGACGCUGCAGAAGGUGAAGAAGACGUAUAUUUGAUAGUAAGACUGCUUUCGGUGAUUGGGAUUAAUAACUGCUCGAAACGCUGCUAGUGCCGCGCACUACAUACUAUAUUUUUCGGUUUAUCUACUACUAUGCAAUCGAAAAAAAAGUUGCAAUAAUCGUCACCACUCCGGAUAAUCACCGCAAUGGGUCGCAAAAUUCUCUCUCACCUCUCUCUGCCUGUGGAUGUCUCUUCUACUUCAACUAAGCGAAACAAGACUCGUCAGUUGAAGACGUUCAAGCCUUAGAAGAAGAUUGUGAAUAAAACAGGUUGGUGUGAAAGAGUAAAAAUGUGAACAAAACGGAGUGUGAUUUGCUGCGCGCGCGUGCGUGAAUGAUUGCCACGAGUGUCACAGUAUGCACGGAGGGAAAAAAAGCAACUACAGUCGAAUGAUAUUUGUAGCAAAACGUUCCGCGAUAGACUGCGUGCCUAGCACAACCCCAGCCCCGAAAUGCCUGCCUAUCCGCGCUUAUCUACUGAAAUUAGUUAAAACGAGGCCUUAACAAUGAAAAACCCAAACAUGUGCCCAUUUCAGACUGGUCGAAAAUCCGCGGUUAGAGAACCUCAAGCCAUGGCUUGCUUCGACCUCAGACUUAUUUUUUAACUACAAAUAAAAAAAAACACAGAAACCCGAUCAAGUCGACGCCUUUCACGAAGCAAGUAAUACAUUUUACACAGACUAGAGAAUACGGCUUAACAAACGAACAAAACUUUCCAGUAGCGAGAAGCGAAUCAACAAUAUAUUUACAACACGGUGCAGCAACAGUGGUGUCAACUUUUCCAAACAAAAAAAAAGCGCUUCGUUCUUCCACGCUUGUGAAGUGCGAGCCAAGCUCGCGGUUGCCUUUAUAGUAAAAACAAAAAAAAAAUAACUCAUCCGGAAGCGGAAAAUUUGGCACCACUUGUGUGCACGCACUUUGGCAUCCUUCAUUACAUUAAUGACUUAGCGAUUAGUUCGUACAUUUUAAAGAAGAAAAAAAAGAAUCCGCCGCACCCACGCGUACGAACAGAAACGAACAUUCGAUGCAAGGCGCAUAUCUUAUUCAUAUUCGAUCACAAUAUUUUUUGUUUUAGUUCGUUACAAUUGCUCAAGAAUCUCAAGCGAAAAUACUCUGCAAAAUGUAUUUUAAACAGCGAAACAGAAGGCAAUUAUAUUUUCCAGUUAGGUAUUUUUAGUUCAUAAUUGACCCACCUUUUCCAGACAACAAAUCGAGCGAACAAACGAAAGCAAUAUAUGCUGGAUCAGUAUGAACAAAACAAAAAAACAACGUCCAUCCAAUUAGCAAUUGUAUGAUUUAUCUUCUUUGUUACUUGACGUACUCAUUUCCCGAGCUCAUAUCAUUUCAACCAGAUUUAGGCUAUGUCACAGUAAAGAGCAUGUGAGGACAGAUUUUUAACAUAUUUAUGCUUAGUUUAAUGAACAAAAAAUGUGAUAUUCUUGAGUAUUUUUUUGUAUUAUUUUAGAAAACUCUAGCAAUUUAUAGGAUAGCGGUUAGAUAGACAUUAGUGCAAGCAAGAAUGAUCGACAUUAGAUUUUACGCAUUAUGUUCGCUGUAAGAGCGGUUUUGUCACGAAUUUUAAUCUAAGCAAAUUUAGUUGGCAAAUAGACAAAUUAUUUUCUAAAUUUAUCUGAUUGUGUAAAAUUUGGAAACGCGCAGGUGAAGAUUUAAAUUCUGCGCAAAAAGCAGUAUGUUUCACGUUUUAGGUUAACUUAACGUAUAAAAUGACGUAACUAUGGAUAUGUAAAAUUGUUAUGAUUGUAAAUAUAUGGAUACAAAAAUUUACAUAAUAAACAUUUUAAAAGUUACA